rnacentral:rRNA from 1 species
AGGACGAACGCUGGCGGCGUGCUUAACACAUGCAAGUCGAGCGGUAAGGCCCUUUCGGGGGUACACGAGCGGCGAACGGGUGAGUAACACGUGAGCAAUCUGCCCUUCACUUCGGGAUAAGCCUCGGAAACGGGGUCUAAUACCGGAUAUGACCGCGCUACGCAUGUGGUGUGGUGGAAAGUUCUGGCGGUGGAGGAUGAGCUCGCGGCCUAUCAGCUUGUUGGUGGGGUAAUGGCCUACCAAGGCUUCGACGGGUAGCCGGCCUGAGAGGGUGACCGGCCACACUGGGACUGAGACACGGCCCAGACUCCUACGGGAGGCAGCAGGUGGGGAAUAGUUGGACAAGUGGGCGAAAGCCUGAUCCAGCAACGCCGCGGUGAGGGAUGACGGUCCUUCGGGGUUCGUUAAACCGUCUUUCGAGCGACCGACGAAGCGAGAGUAGACGGUAGCGACAGGAAGAACGACACCGGACCAACGUACGUGCC